CGGACUCUGAGUGUGCCACCUGUUUGUCCAACGUAUUGUUUGUGACAUCUGGGUACAUCACACGUAAUGACAUAAAUUAUGUUUGUUGAUGCGCAUGUCAUUCGUCCAUUUAUUGUUGUGUUGUUGUUUUGGAAAUAUAGUGGGUAUGACUUACCGGUGGUGGUGCUGCGGAUGGCAGAGCAAAUCGUGAUCUGAUGGCAUAUUCCGCAUUGUGUGUGGUUUCAAGUUGUCGUGACUGGCGUAAUGGCGACUCUAGGCAAUCAUUGGUGGGUGACAUCCAAGUAUUGAUUCGAGUUGGGGAUCGCUGUCGAUCAUGAUUUGCCAUUGUCUGUGGAUCAAUUGUUUGAUGUUUGGGAACCAGGGGAUAUGUAGUCAUUUGAGUCCCGGAUGUAACUGUUCUGUGUGAGUGCAAUUGGUUUGAGAAGAUAGUCUACGAAUUGAGAGAUGGCUUCAGUCGGUCCUGAGCAACCAGACACGAUUGGUCGAUAUGCGACUGGAGUUUUGUGUAUUUUACUGAGAAAAUAGAGUUGUUGUGUUCGUACUUUAGAUGGUUUAAUUAAGUUGAGAGAUGGCUUCAGUCGGUCCUGAGCAACCAGACACGAUUGGUCGAUAUGCGACUGGAGUUUUGUGUAUUUUACUAAGAAAAUAGAGUUGUUGUGUUCGUACUUUAGAUGGUUUAAGUUGGAAAAGAAAUUGU